rnacentral:rRNA from 1 species
GACGAACGCUGGCGGCGUGCUUAACACAUGCAAGUCGAACGGAAAGGCCCUGCUUUUGUGGGGUGCUCGAGUGGCGAACGGGUGAGUAACACGUGAGUAACCUGCCCUUGACUUUGGGAUAACUUCAGGAAACUGGGGCUAAUACCGGAUAGUAGCUCCUGCUGCAUGGUGGGGGUUGGAAAGUUUCGGCGGUUGGGGAUGGACGCGCGGCUUAUCAGUUUGUUGGUGGGGUAGUGGCUUACCAAGGCUUUGACGGGUAGCCGGCCUGAGAGGGUGACCGGCCACAUUGGGACUGAGAUACGGCCCAGACUCCUACGGGAGGCAGCAGUGGGGAAUAUUGCACAAUGGGCGGAAGCCUGAUGCAGCAACGCCGCGUGCGGGAUGACGGCCUUCGGGUUGUAAACCGCUUUCGCCUGUGACGAAGCGUGAGUGACGGUAAUGGGUAAAGAAGCACCGGCUAACUACGUG